rnacentral:rRNA from 1 species
AGCGCAGGCGGUUUGAUAAGUCUGAAGUUAAAGGCUGUGGCUCAACCAUAGUUCGCUUUGGAAACUGUCAAACUUGAGUGCAGAAGGGGAGAGUGGAAUUCCAUGUGUAGCGGUGAAAUGCGUAGAUAUAUGGAGGAACACCAGUGGCGAAGGCGGCUUACUGGUCCAUUACUGACGCUGAGGUGCAAAAGCGUGGGGAGCAAACA